CCCUUAGAUGGUCUGGGCGGCACGCGCGCUACAAUGAUGCAUUCAAAAAGUCUUCUGACCUUAGAAGGUUGGGUAUUCUCCAAAGUGCAUCGUGAUGGGAAUAGUUUAUUGCAAUUUUUAAUCUUGAACGAGGAAUUCCUAGUAAGUACAGGCCAUCAACUUGUGUUGAUUACGUCCCUGCCCUUUGUACACACCGCCCGUCGCUCCUACCGAUUGAAUGUGUUGGUGAGGAGCUCGGAUUGGCAGCAGUUGGUGGUUCGCCACCGGCUAUUGCUGAGAAGUCCUCCAAACCGCCCCAUUUAGAGGAAGGAGAAGUCGUAACA
rnacentral:rRNA from 1 species